GAGGGAACACACAUGCUUCUGGCUCACUGCGCUAUUGGAUGAAGGAACUGGCCCUAUUGCACAGGCAUAACCAUAGUCAGGUCUGACCAGGCGUUGUGUUAGUUUAGGGUUAGUAAUGUAAAGUCUGACCAGGCAUAACCAUAGUCAGGUCUGACCAGGCAUAACCAUAGUCAGGUCUGACCAGGCAUAACCAUAGUCAGGUCUGACCAGGUAUAACCAUAGUCAGGUCUGACCAGGCAUAACCAUAGUCAGGUCUGACCAGGCAUAACCAUAGUCAGGUCUGACCGGGCAUAACCAUAGUCAGGUCUGACCAGGCAUAACCAUAGUCAGGUCUGACCAGGCAUAACCAUAGUCAGGUCUGACCAGGCAUAACCAUAGUCAGGUCUGACCAGGCAUAACCAUAGUCAGGUCUGACCAGGCAUAACCAUAGUCAGGUCUGACCGGGCAUAACCAUAGUCAGGUCUGACCGGGCAUAACCAUAGUCAGGUCUGACCGGGCAUAACCAUAGUCAGGUCUGACCGGGCAUAACCAUAGUCAGGUCUGACCAGGCAUAACCAUAGUCAGGUCUGACCGGGCAUAACCAUAGUCAGGUCUGACCAGGCAUAACCAUAGUCAGGUCUGACCGGGCAUAACCAUAGUCAGGUCUGACCAGGCAUAACCAUAGUCAGGUCUGACCAGGCGUUGUGUUAGUUUAGGGUUAGUAGUAGUCAGGUCUGACCAGGCGUUGUGUUAGUUUAGGGUUAGUAAUGUAAAGUCUGACCAGGCGUUGUGUUAGUUUAGGGUUAGUAAUGUAAAGUCUGACCAGGCGUUGUGUUAGUUUAGGGUUAGUAAUGUCAAGUCUGACCAGGUAUUGUGUUAGUUUAGGGUAAGUAAUGUAAAGUCUGACCAGGCGUUGUGUUAGUUUAGGGUUAGUAAUGUAAAGUCUGAACAGGUAUUGUGUUAGUUUAGGGUUAGUAGUAGUCAGGUCUGACCAGGUAUUGUGUUAGUUUAGGGUUAGUAGUAGUCAGGUCUGACCAGGCGUUGUGUUAGUUUAGGGUUAGUAAUGUAAAGUCUGACCAGGCGUUGUGUUAGUUUAGGGUUAGUAAUGUAAAGUCUGACCAGGCGUUGUGUUAGUUUAGGGUUAGUAAUGUAAAGUCUGACCAGGUAUUGUGUUAGUUUAGGGUAAGUAAUGUAAAGUCUGACCAGGCGUUGUGUUAGUUUAGGGUUAGUAAUGUAAAGUCUGAACAGGUAUUGUGUUAGUUUAGGGUUAGUAGUAGUCAGGUCUGACCAGGCAUUGUGUUAGUUUAGGGUUAGUAGUAGUCAGGUCUGACCAGGCGUUGUGUUAGUUUAGGGUUAGUAAUGUAAAGUCUGACCAGGCGUUGUGUUAGUUUAGGGUUAGUAAUGUAAAGUCUGACCAGGUAUUGUGUUAGUUUAGGGUUAGUAAUGUAAAGUCUGACCAGGCGUUGUGUUAGUUUAGGGUUAGUAGUAGUCAAGUCUGACCAGGCGUUGUGUUAGUUUAGGGUUAGUAGUAGUCAGGUCUGACCAGGCAUUGUGUUAGUUUAGGGUUAGUAAUGUAAAGUCUGACCAGGCGUUGUGUUAGUUUAGGGUUAGUAGUAGUCAAGUCUGACCAGGUAUUGUGUUAGUUUAGGGUUAGUAAUGUCAAGUCUGACCAGGUAUUGUGUUAGUUUAGGGUUAGUAAUGUCAAGUCUGACCAGGCAUUGUGUUAGUUUAGGGUUAGUAAUGUCAAGUCUGACCAGGCAUUGUGUUAGUUUAGGGUUAGUAAUGUCAAGUCUGACCAGGCGUUGUGUUAGUUUAGGGUUAGUAAUGUAAAGUCUGACCAGGCAUUGUGUUAGUUUAGGGUUAGUAAUGUCAAGUCUGACCAGGCAUUGUGUUAGUUUAG